GGAAGUGUGGUUUAGUGGCUUGUAUGUUGGACUAUGACUCUGGAGGCCAGGGUACAAAUCCCUGUUUGGCCA